UCCUAAAUUAUAUCCCCUUGUCUUCCACCGCUUCAACCCAAUAAAACCUAAAAAUAUUGUCCCUCUCUUUGAUGAAUCAACGUUUCAUGGGGUAUCUGCUGUGGAUCAACUACACCUUGCCAUGGAGAUGCAUUGUUGUUGCUCAUUUCUAUUUUCAAAACCGUGCUCUCUAGUGGAUGGAAAGAAUCUCAUAUUUUUAUGCUUUGUUAAGGGUUCGAGGUCCCUGGAAAGUAUUCCAGAUCCAACCGGUAUGGAGAUAAUGGGGUCCUUGGAACCGCAAGUAAUUGGAUUGGAAUGCUCUUUCAGGUGUAAGAAUUGCAAAAAUCUCUCAAGACCCUCCCAUUUUGCUAUGAGUCCUUUUUGAUGGAUGAUAUAGUAUAGGCUAGCAACCUUUUUCACCUUUUUUUUUGUUGCUCGAAGGGUUUUAAAUAGUUGCAUAUGAAAUAUGAACUCUUAAGCUGUAGCCUUUUCAGCUUGGUCAUUCUCUUGUUGUUGUAAGUUUUAUGUAAGGACAUUAAAGUUUAUCACUGUUAAGGAUCUUUCUACCUGUAACAUCUAAUUGAUGAAAACUUGUAGCUAUGAAAUCCCUUUUUUCAA